AAUAGUGUACCAUUUACUUAAUAUGUAAGUCAGCACGUUUAAUUAUAUAAUAAUGAGUAAAAUUAACCCACACUACCUAAUUAUUUAUAGUAAUAACUGCAAACUAAAAAAACUUUGUAAUAUAUACCCAAAAAUGUUGGCCUGUCUGUUAGAGCAAGAGCUAUUUGGGGCACAUGUUCGUUGGGCGAGCUGGAUUGUGGAAGUUGACUACAUUGUCAAGCUUCAGUCCUGACGAGAGGAGGUGGUGACUCUCUGCUCAGCUAUCAGUGUCUUCAAAGAGAGGAGGCCAGCUUUAUUCACUGAGACUCAAAUCAAAGAGGAGUUCCGUCGGAUAACAACUAUUUCCCUGGAAGAAACAUUCAUGUUUAAGCUUGACAGUUACACACCUCGUCUUCUGCAGCUGAUGCGUCCCAAAAGAGGUGCUGUUGGUACCAGGAUGCGCUCUCUACUUAACACUGUAAAUUAGUCUCAGAGUAUUGAGAAUAAAAGGGAUGCAGUGCUCUCCUGCCUCAUUGAGUACCUAGGGGAGCCGCAAGAAGAGCUCUUCCAAGACUCCCAGUUAAACAUGAAAAAUGACCAGGAGGGCCAAACAGAACAAACUAUGAAGGUGCUUUUGAUCCAUAACCCCAUGGCUGAGGACGAUCCAGUAGACGUAUCUAUUGUGAUAGAGGGCAUCCAACUGAUCAGUGGGUGUGGAUACAAAACCAAGGCAUGCAUGUUGUUGAUAGGAUUAAUAUAUGCCCUCAACCUUGAAUAUCCCAAGAAGCUCAAGAAUACUUUUGAAGUAUUUCAAAAACUUCUUUUGGAGCUAGAUGGGGUCAAUUGUCUCAAGAAGGUUCACAGCCUCAAAAUUAAACUCAUGGAAUAGACUGUUGUUGUUGUUAAUGUCAAAAUGUUGAAAUUUCUCAUUGUAUACAGUGUCUCAGGAUACAGUAAUUGGUAAAUUUCAAAUAGAUGUUUGUUAUUUGAACAAAUAGGCUUCCUAAGUUUAAUUACUGAACAAGUAGACACACUAUUUGAGCAAUGUUAGCCUAAUUUUUUGUAUUUUUAUAAUGCUGAAGGAAAAAACUCAAUUUCUUGUGAUCAAGAUUUGAAUAUGCAAAGAAUUAUUUGUUUGAUUUUUGGUUGUUUAUUAAAAAAUUCAUGAUCUACUGUGUCUGAUAACUUUUUAAUGUUAUUAGUAAGUUUACC